GGGCGCUUUAGCGCAGUGGUAGCGCGUAUGCUUUGCAUAGUGAUUUCCUUGAAAAGGUUAAUUGCUUACAGAAUCUUGUAUGAGGUCCAGGGUUCAAUCCCCUGAACGUCCA